AUUGAACGCUGGCGGCAGGCCUAACACAUGCAAGUCGAGCGAGGGGCGGGGGGGUGAGUAAUGUAUGGGGCUCUGCCAUAUGGAGGGGGAUAACUCCUGAAACCGGUGGCUAAUACCGCAUACUAUCGGAUGAACCCAUGUGGGAUUAGCUAGUAGGUGGGGUAAAGGGUCACCUAGGAGAAGAUCACUAGCUGGUCUGAGAGGAUGAUUAGCCACACGGGGACCGAGACCAGGCCCAGACUCCUACGGGAGGCAGGCGGGGGGAAUAUUGCACAAUGGGGGCAAGGCCGAGAGAGCCAUGCCGGGGGUAUGAAGAAGGCCUUUGGGUUGUAAAGUACUUUUAGCGGGGAGGCCUUACCCGCAGCAGAAGCACCCGCUAACUCCGUGCCCGCCGCCGGGGUAAUAC
rnacentral:rRNA from 1 species